UACGGAGGGGGCUAGCGUUGUUCGGAAUUACUGGGCGUAAAGCGUGCGUAGGCGGUCUCUUAAGUCCGUUGUGAAAGCCCUGGGCUCAACCUGGGAACUGCAGUGGAUACUGAGAAGCUAGAGUGUGUCAGAGGAUGGUGGAAUUCCCGGUGUAGCGGUGAAAUGCGUAGAGAUCGGGAGGAACAUCAGUGGCGAAGGCGGCUCUCUGGGACGGUACUGACGCUGAGACGCGAAAGCGUGGGGAGCGAACAGG
rnacentral:rRNA from 1 species